CACGCCGUAAACGAUGGAUACUAGGUGUAGGAGGUAUCGACCCCUUCUGUGCCGGAGUUAACACAAUAAGUAUCCCACCUGGGGAGUACGGCCGCAAGGUUGAAACUCAAAGGAAUUGACGGGGGCCCGCACAAGCAGUGGAGUAUGUGGUUUAAUUCGAAGCAACGCGAAGAACCUUACCAGGGCUUGACAUCCCUCGGAUACUAUAGAGAUAUAGUAGUCCUUCGGGACGAGGAGACAGGUGG
rnacentral:rRNA from 1 species